GUCCCUCCCUCACAUUCACUCAGCUUUGAGUCAGAGUUGCAGUUGUCCUCAGUGACAGCCGCAGCAGUUAGAGGAAGUGUUACAUAGUGUGCAGCUCUAAGUCUAACCGCUUGGCCAGCACAAGUUUUUAUACAUGUGGCAUAUGAUGUAGUCCACUGAUAGUCGCACAAGGACGAAAGUUUACCUCAUUAUGUAAGGACCAAGCCACAGCAUGGCAUCCUGGAGAAACUCUUGCAGUAUUAAUGCGGGGAUUCGGCAGCUGAAUAUGCUGCCAUUGAAUCUGAAAUCUAC